rnacentral:rRNA from 1 species
GACGAACGCUGGCGGCGUGCCUAAUACAUGCAAGUCGAACGAGAGCGACCGGUGCUUGCACUGGUCAAUCUAGUGGCGAACGGGUGAGUAACACGUGGGUAACCUGCCCAUCAGAGGGGGAUAACAUCCGGAAACGGAUGCUAAAACCGCAUAGGUCUUCGAGCCGCAUGGCUUGAAGAGGAAAAGAGGCGCAAGCUUCUGCUGAUGGAUGGACCCGCGGUGCAUUAGCUAGUUGGUGAGGUAACGGCUCACCAAGGCCGUGAUGCAUAGCCGACCUGAGAGGGUGAUCGGCCACAUUGGGACUGAGACACGGCCCAAACUCCUACGGGAGGCAGCAGUAGGGAAUCUUCCGCAAUGGACGCAAGUCUGACGGGGCAACGCCGCGUGAGUGAAGAAGGUUUUCGGAUCGUAAAACUCUGUUGUUAGAGAAGAACAAGUGCUAGAGUAACUGUUAGCGCCUUGACGGUAUCUAACCAGAAAGCCACGGCUAACUACGUG